rnacentral:tRNA from 1 species
GCGGGUAUAGUUUAGUGGUAAAACCCUAGCCUUCCAAGCUAACGAUGCGG